GAUGAACGCUGGCGGCGUGCCUAAUACAUGCAAGUCGAGCGAACGGACGAGAAGCUUGCUUCUCUGUUGUUAGCGGCGGACGGGUGAGUAACACGUGGAUAACCUACCUAUAAGACUGGGAUAACUUCGGGAAACCGGAGCUAAUACCCGAUAAUAUUUUGAACCGCAUGGUUCAAAAGUGAAAGCCGGUCUUGCUGUCACUUAUAGAUGGAUCCGCGCUGCAUUAGCUAGUUGGUAAGGUAACGGCUUACCAAGGCAACGAUGCAUAGCCGACCUGCGAGAGUGAUCGCCCACACUGGAACUGAGACACGGUCCAGACUCCUACGGGAGGCAGCAGUAGGGAAUCUUCCGCAAUGGGCGAAAGCCUGACGGAGCAACGCCGCGGUAGUGAUGAAGGUCUUCGGAUCGUAAAACUCUGUUAUUAGGGAAGAACAUAUGUGUAAGUAACUGUGCACAUCUUGACGGUACCUAAUCAGAAAGCCACGGCUAACUACGUG
rnacentral:rRNA from 1 species